rnacentral:rRNA from 1 species
CGAAUACGAGACGCUACGGCGUCGAAGUAGUGUAUGUCAUGCUUCCAAGAAAAGCUUGCACUGUCAUAAAUAAAAGAUGCCUGUACCAUAACCGACACAGGUGGGUAGGUAGAGUAUACUAAGGGGCGCGAGAUAACUCUCUCUAAGGAACUCGGCAAAAUAACUCCGUAACUUCGGGAGAAGGAGUGCCUUAUUUAAUAAGGUUGCAAUAACAAGAUCCAAGCAACUGUUUACCAAAAACACAGGUCUCCGCUAAGUCGUAAGACGAUGUAUGGGGGCUGACGCCUGCCCAGUGCCAGAAGGUUAAAGAAGUUGGUUAGCAUCUGCGAAGCUGAUAACUGAAGCCCUGGUGAACGGCGGCCGUAACGAUAACGGUCCUAAGGUAGCGAAAUUCCUUGUCGGGUAAGUUCCGACCCGCACGAAAGGCGUAAUGAUUUGGAUACUGUCUCGGAGAGGGGCUCGGUGAAAUAGACUUGUCUGUGAAGAUGCGGACUACCUGCACCUGGACAGAAAGACCCUAUGAAGCUUUACUGUAACUUGAAAUUGAAAUUGGACUUUAUUCGCGCAGUAUAGGUGGGAGGCGUUGAAAAUACUCUUGCGGGAGUAUUGGAGCUAUCAGUGAGAUACCACUCUUAUAAUGUUAGAUUUCUAACUUUGAACCAUUAUCUGGUCAAAGAACAGUUUCAGGCGGGCAGUUUGACUGGGGCGGUCGCCUCCCAAACGGUAACGGAGGCGUACAAAGGUUUCCUCUGAACGGAUAGAAAUCGUAUCUAGAGUAUAAAGGCAUAAGGAAGCUUGACUGUGAGACCUACAAGUCGAGCAGGGACGAAAGUCGGUCUUAGUGAUCUGACGGUACUGAGUGGAAAGGCCGUCACUCAACGGAUAAAAGUUACUCUAAGGAUAACAGGCUGAUCUCCCCCAAGAGUUCACAUCGACGGGGAGGUUUGGCACCUCGAUGUCGGCUCAUCGCAUCCUGGGGCGGUAGUACGUCCCAAGGGUUGGGCUGUUCGCCCAUGAAAGCGGUACGCGAGCUGGGUUCAGAACGUCGUGAGACAGUUCGGUCCAUAUCCGGUGUAGGCGUUAGAAUAUUGAGAGGAGCCUUCUCUAGUACGAGAGGACCGAGAAGGACAUACCUCUGGUGUACCAGUUAUCGUGCCAACGGUAAACGCUGGGUAGCUAUGUAUGGAGUGGAUAACCGCUGAAAGCAUCUAAGUGGGAAGCCCACCUCAAGAUAAG